AGUGAACGCUGGCGGUAGGCCUAACACAUGCAAGUCGAACGGCAGCACAGUAAGAGCUUGCUCUUACGGGUGGCGAGUGGCGGACGGGUGAGGAAUACAUCGGAAUCUACUUUUUCGUGGGGGAUAGCGUAGGGAAACUUACGCUAAUACCGCAUACGACCUACGGGUGAAAGCAGGGGAUCUUCGGACCUUGCGCGAUUGAAUGAGCCGAUGUCGGAUUAGCUAGUUGGCGGGGUAAAGGCCCACCAAGGCGACGAUCCGUGGCUGGUCUGAGAGGAUGAUCAGCCACACUGGAACUGAGACACGGUCCAGACUCCUACGGGAGGCAGCAGUGGGGAAUAUUGGACAAUGGGCGCAAGCCUGAUCCAGCCAUACCGCGUGGGUGAAGAAGGCCUUCGGGUUGUAAAGCCCUUUUGUUGGGAAAGAAAAGCAGCAGGUUAAUACCCCGCUGUUCUGACGGUACCCAAAGAAUAAGCACCGGCUAACUUCGUG
rnacentral:rRNA from 1 species